rnacentral:rRNA from 1 species
CCUACGGGGGGCAGCAGUAGGGAAUAUUGCUCAAUGGGGGAAACCCUGAAGCAGCAACGCCGCGUGGAGGAUGAAGGUUUUCGGAUUGUAAACUCCUUUUGUUAGAGAAGAGAAUGACGGUAUCUAACGAAUAAGCACCGGCUAACUCCGGGCCAGCAGCCGCGGUAAUACGGAGGGGGCAAGCGUUACUCGGAAUCACUGGGCGUAAAGGGCGCGUAGGCGGGAUCGCAAGUCAGAUGUGAAAUCCUAUGGCUUAACCAUAGAACUGCAUUUGAAACUGUUAUUCUAGAGUAUGGGAGAGGUAGGUGGAAUUCUUGGUGUAGAGGUGAAAUCCGUAGAGAUCAAGAGGAAUACUCAUUGCGAAGGCGACCUGCUAGAACAUAACUGACGCUGAUGCGCGAAAGCGUGGGGAGCAAACAGGAUUAGAUACCCGGGUAGUC